rnacentral:rRNA from 1 species
GAUGAACGCUGGCGGCGUGCCUAAUACAUGCAAGUCGAGCGAAGCGGGGACGGGCGAGUAACACGUGGAUACCCUCGUAUAAGACUGGGAUAACUUCGGGAAACCGGAGCUAAACCGGAUACUUAUCGAUGGAUCCGCGCUGCAUUAGCUAGUUGGUAAGGUAACGGCUUACCAAGGCAACGAUGCAUAGCCGACCUGAGAGGUGGAUCGGCCACACGGGAACGGAGACACGGUCCAGACUCCUACGGGAGGCGGCGGUAGGGAAUCUUGCGCAAUGGGCGAAAGCCUGCCAGAGAAACGCCGCGUGAGUGAUGAGGGUCUUCGGAUCGUAAAACUCUGUUAUUAGGGAAGCGGUACCUAAUCAGAAAGCCACGGCUAACUACGUGCCAGCAGCCGCGGUAAUAC